UACAGACGCAAGGUGCAACCACACAUCCU
rnacentral:piRNA from 1 species